rnacentral:lncRNA from 1 species
UUUAACAUGUAUUUCUACAUAGUUCAUGCCUAUUUUGGUUUAAAAGUAGAAUUGGAUAUAUGAUGUUCACCAUAUACUACUGAAUAUCAUGCAAAACCCAUUUUUGGAUUGAGGUGUUGGUCGUUAGUCUUAUACUCUUUGAAUACUGUUUGAAAAUUCUUUUUAAGAAAACGUACAAUUGCCAAAUUACUCCACAUGUAUAAAAGUAAUUUAUUUAAAGGAUGGAAUUGGUCUUUUAGUAUUAUGUGUACUCAUGCCUUUUAGUGAUGGUUUGUACUUGUGAUUAGGUUAAUUGCGUGGAGUAUUUGGGACUGGGGCGUGACAAUAGAUGCCAAAUGGUAUUGUAUCUCAUUUUGGAGUUUGGUGUUGUGAACCCUUUUGUACAUACAAGUUUAAAAUAUAUAUGCAUAUAUGUUUAUAUGCACGUGGCAUGAGGUCAUUGAUUUUUUGGGUGCAAUACAUCUUAAUUCUAAGAAGAGGAGAUUUGACUCUAUAAGUGCAGGUAUUGGAUUGCUCUGCUCUCUCAGUGUAAGUACAUCUCUGCAUAUCUUUAUUUCCUCAAUUAUAUUUGACUUUGUUAUGUUGAGUUGCCAAAUUAAAGGUAUUGCACUACUUUUUCGAUACUACAUUAAAUCUGGAACAUGUGAAACAUUAAAUUUUGAGUGUUAAUCAUUGAACAGGGGCUGCAUUUUAAAUUUGUAAACAUCCACUGUAAUGGUUUGGGGCUUGAUAGUUGUACCAAAUCUCUUUUUCUUAUUCCCAUGUGCAUGUCCAUGUGUAGACCUUUUUGCAGCUUUCUAAGUUUAGGUUUUUCUUGAUGUGUGCUUAAGUGGUUUGGGAUUACUUUCCUUUGCAGGCCUGGGUAUUAUAUAAAAUUUUGCGCUUUCAGAUUAAGGUAAAGUUUGAUUAUAUCUUAUAGUUAAUUAUGAUGCCCAUCACAAGGUGAAUAAUUUUUUUCCAUUACACUUAUGUGUUCUAUCAAUUAAACUCCAGACCAACUACUAAUCUCCUAAGUUCUUUAAAUUUGGGUUUGUUAUAUGUUGUAGGAAAUGGCAUAUUUUUUCUUUACAUUUGAAAGAGUGAAAAUUAUAUUGUUGGGACUUUGGAUUCUAUUUUUAUGUCCUAAUUUGUGUGAGGAUUGCUUGCCAUCCAUAUAAGAAUGUUACUAAAGGGUGCGUUUGGUACGUGGGACGGGACGGGACAGAACGGGACGAGGCGUUCCGUCCCGCGUUUGGUGCGCCAAAAAUGGGUGGAACGGGCUGUUCCACGGGACAGAUUUUGGGUGUUUUUGCGUCCCACCUCCUCCCCUGGAACGGGUUUGUUCCACGUCUGUGGAACACAAUGUUUUACCAUUUUAAGACAAAUAUACCCCAUGUCUUUUUCAAAAAUUACACCUUCGUUCCGUCCCGUCCCGUCCCGUUCCGUCCCGUCCGCGUACCAAACGCACCCAAAGUGUUAGGCAAAAGUCUUUAUGUUUCAAUCACAAACAAGUGCAUGUAUACAUAGCAGAAUUACACCAAUUAAUCUGUGGGAGGAAGGAUAUAUAACAGCUCGUGAGAUAAAGAUAAUCAUAAUUUGAAAAUUCGGAAGCCACUACAUACUCAUUUCUUGUUGCUCUGUGUAAAUUUUGAAGGGUCCGACACUGGCACUCAAGCAGCAUUUUGGAAAGAAGAUUUUGGAACUAGAAGAUGAGAAAAGAACUGUGCAGGUUCACUUAAAACCUUAAUAUUUGAUGUUCUUAUGCUUGAGAGAACCGAUAUUCACUUAAAACCUUUAUAAUUUUAUUUUUAUUUUAGUUGGGGAUAGAACAUGUAAAAUUAUAGUUGUUUUUACAUAUAAUGGUUGUGAAUAUCCUUGUAAAUUGUAAUAUUAUAGAUGCUUGUGGUUGUGGACUGUUUUAAUUUUAUGAAAAAAUAAUUUUAAUUUUAUGAAAAAAAUAAUUUUUUGUUUAGCCUCAAUCUCAAUUUUUAGGUGAUUUUGGUUUUUAAUUUUUUUUUAAAUGGUUGACAUAUUGGGCACAAUAACAAUAAAUGUGCUAACAUGGGUGGCAGACAACUUUGUCAGAACUGGGCACAAAAGAACCUUUAUUUGUGCUUACACUUUUCAGCACAGCAUACCUAAUUGUGCUCUUUGAUC